AAUUACCCAAUCCUGACACAGGGAGGUAGUGACAAGAAAUAACAAUACAGGGCUUAAAGUCUUGUAAUUGGAAUGAUGGGAAUCUAAACCCUUCCCAGAGUAUCAAUUGGAGGGCAAGUCUGGUGCCAGCAGCCGCGGUAAUUCCAGCUCCAAUAGCGUAUAUUAAAGUUGUUGCAGUUAAGGAGCUCGUAGUUGAAUUUCUGCCUUGUCGUUAAAUUCGCUUCCGAGCGUUUUUUUAUUGACUUGGCAUCUUCUGGAUUUGGUUCCCUUCGGGGUUCUAUUUUCCGGGAUUUACUUUGAGAAAACUAGAGUGUUUCAAACAGGCAUUUGCCUUGAAUACUACAGCAUGGAAUAAUGAAGUAGGACUUUGGUUCUAUUUUGUUGGUUAUUGAGCCAGAGUAAUGGUUAAUAGGAGCAGUUGGGGGCAUUCGUAUUUAA
rnacentral:rRNA from 1 species